rnacentral:rRNA from 2 species
UACGUAGGGGGCAAGCGUUGUCCGGAAUUAUUGGGCGUAAAGCGCGCGUAGGCGGCCCUUUAAGUCUCGUGUUUAAACCCGGAGCUCAACUUCGGGUCGCACGGGAAACUGGGGGGCUUGAGUGCAGGAGAGGGAAGCGGAAUUCCACGUGUAGCGGUGAAAUGCGUAGAGAUGUGGAGGAACACCAGUGGCGAAGGCGGCUUCCUGGUCUGUAACUGACGCUGAGGCGCGAAAGCGUGGGGAGCAAACAGG